rnacentral:rRNA from 1 species
UACGAAGGGGGCUAGCGUUGCUCGGAAUUAUUGGGCGUAAAGCGCGUGUAGGCGGCUUUGCAAGUCGGGUGUGAAAGCCCUCAGCUCAACUGAGGAAGUGCGCCCGAAACUGCAGAGCUUGAGUGCCGGAGAGGGUGGCGGAAUUCCCCAAGUAGAGGUGAAAUUCGUAGAUAUGGGGUGGAACACCGGUGGCGAAGGCGGCCACCUGGACGGUAACUGACGCUGAGACGCGAAAGCGUGGGGAGCAAACAGG